AGGACGAACGCUGGCGGCGUGCUUAACACAUGCAAGUCGAACGGAGUCCAUCCGGUGGCAACACCGGUGAAGGCUCAGUGGCGAACGGGUGCGGAACACGUGAGCAACCUGCCCCAAAGACCGGGAUAACACCGGGAAACUGGUGCUAAUACCGGAUACCCCCACGGGCUCGCAUGGGCUUGUGAGGAAAGGGUUUCCGCUUUGGGAGGGGCUCGCGGCCUAUCAGCUAGUUGGUGAGGUAACGGCUCACCAAGGCGACGACGGGUAGCUGGUCUGAGAGGACGAUCAGCCACACUGGGACUGAGACACGGCCCAGACUCCUACGGGAGGCAGCAGUGGGGAAUCUUGCGCAAUGGGCGAAAGCCUGACGCAGCAACGCCGCGUGGGGAUGAAGGCCUUCGGGUGUAAACCCUUCAGUGGGAACGAAUUGACGGUACCACAGAGAAGCCCGGCCAACUACGUGCCAGCAGCCGC
rnacentral:rRNA from 1 species